GACAGUUUAGCUUAAUGGUAAAGCACCCAGCCAGAGUCUCUGAAAGAUAUGGGUUCAAGUCCCAUGGCUGGUU
rfam:Octopus bimaculoides Scaffold11626_contig_28, whole genome shotgun sequence.